UACGUAGGGUGCAAGCGUUGUCCGGAAUUAUUGGGCGUAAAGAGCUCGUAGGCGGUCUGUCGCGUCGAAUGUGAAAACCCGGGACUCAACUCCGGGCCUGCAUUCGAUACGGGCAGACUAGAGUUCGGUAGGGGAGACUGGAAUUCCUGGUGUAGCGGUGAAAUGCGCAGAUAUCAGGAGGAACACCGGUGGCGAAGGCGGGUCUCUGGGCAUUAACUGACGCUGAGGAGCGAAAGCAUGGGGAGCGAACAGG
rnacentral:rRNA from 1 species